rnacentral:rRNA from 1 species
CCUACGGAGUGCAGCAGUGGGGAAUAUUGGACAAUGGGCGAAAGCCUGAUCCAGCCAUGCCGCGUGUGUGAAGAAGGCCUUCGGGUUGUAAAGCACUUUCAGUGGGGAAGAAAGCCUUGGGGCUAAUACCCUCGAGGAAGGACAUCACCCACAGAAGAAGCACCGGCUAACUCCGUGCCAGCAGCCGCGGUAAUACGGAGGGUGCGAGCGUUAAUCGGAAUUACUGGGCGUAAAGCGCGCGUAGGCGGUCUGAUAAGCCGGUUGUGAAAGCCCCGGGCUCAACCUGGGAACGGCAUCCGGAACUGUCAGGCUAGAGUGCAGGAGAGGAAGGUAGAAUUCCCGGUGUAGCGGUGAAAUGCGUAGAGAUCGGGAGGAAUACCAGUGGCGAAGGCGGCCUUCUGGACUGACACUGACGCUGAGGUGCGAAAGCGUGGGUAGCAAACAGGAUUAGAUACCCCAGUAGUC